rnacentral:rRNA from 1 species
AGUGAAUAGAUACCCCGGUAGUCCACGCCGUAAACGAUGGAUGCUAGCUGUACGGAGUAUCGACCCUCUGUGUAGCGAAAGCUAACGCGUUAAGCAUCCCGCCUGUGGAGUACGGCCGCAAGGCUAAAACAUAAAGGAAUUGACGGGGACCCGCACAAGCGGUGGAGCGUGUUGUUUAAUUCGAUGAUAAGCGAAGAACCUUACCAAGGUUUGACAUCCUACUAAUCUUUCCGAAAGGAAGGAGUGCCUUCGGGCCGUAGUGACAGGUGAUGCAUGGCCGUCGUCAGCUCGUGUCGUGAGAUGUUUGGUUAAGUCCAUCAACGAGCGCAACCCUUAUAGUUAGUUGGAUUUCUCUAGCUAGACUGCCCCGGUAACGGGGAGGAAGGAGGGGAUGAUGUCAGGUCAGUAUUUCCCUUACACCCUGGGCUACAAACACGCUACAAUGGCCGAUACAAAGGGCAGCCAACCCGCGAGGGGAGCAAAUCCCAUCAAAGCCGGUCUCAGUUCGGAUAGCAGGCUGAAACUCGCCUGCUUGAAGCUGGAAUC